rnacentral:rRNA from 1 species
GGCAAGGGGCGGGCGUGCUAUACAUGCAGUCGAGCGGGAGAAUCAUCCUUCGGGAUGAGGAUCCAGCGGCGAACGGGAGUAGACACGGGCACCGCCCCGCAGACCGAUAACUCGAGGAAACCGGGUAAUCCGAUAGCCUCCUUCCCCCAUAAGGAAAUGGAAAAGGGGAAGGCGGCUUUCGCUGUCAACUUGGGAUGGCCCCGCGCCUUAGCUUGGUUGGUGAGAGUAACGUCCACCAAGGCGACGAGCCGUGUUCCCACCUAAGGGUGUAUUCGGCCACACAUGGGGAUGAGACCACGCCCAAUCUAGGGGGCAGCAGUAGGGAAUUUUCCGCAAUGGGGAAAGCCUGAGGAGCAACGCCGCUGAGUGAGGACGGCCUUCGGGUUGUAAAACUCUGUUCUUGAGGAAGAAUUCCUUCCAGGCGAACAGCCUGGAAGGUUGACGGUACUCAAGGAGAAAGCCCCGGCUAAUACGUGCCAGCAGCCGCGGUAAUACGUAGGGGGCGAGCGUUAUCCGGAAUUAUUGGGCGUAAAGCGCGCGCAGGCGGCUGAUUAAGUCAGGUGUGAAAGGCUGCGGCUCAACCGCAGAGCGGCACCUGAAACUGGUCAGCUUGAGUGCAGGAGAGGGGAGCGGAAUUCCCGGUGUAGCGGUGGAAUGCGUAGAGAUCGGGAGGAACACCAGUGGCGAAGGCGGCUCUCUGGCCUGUAACUGACGCUGAGGCGCGAAAGCGUGGGGAGCAAACAGGAUUAGAUACCCUGGUAGUCCACGCCGUAAACGAUGAGUGCUAGGUGUUUUGGGGGGGUCCCCCCUCAUGCCAAGGUAACCCAUUAACACUCCCCGGGGAUUACGGCCCAAGGUAAACCUCAAAGGAAUUACGGGGGCCCCCCAACGGUGGACCAGUGGUUUAAUUCAAGCACCAAAAACCUUACCAGGGUUGAAUCCCCUACCCCCUCCAAAGGGAGGUUUCCUUCGGACACCGGUGACAGGGGUGGUGCAGGGUUGUCCGCAGCUCGUGCCGGAGAAAUGUUGGGGUUCAGUCCUCCACACCAACCCUUUGUCUUAUUUGCCACUUUUCGAAUGGGCACUCUACUAACAGCCCGUGAAGUCCGGAAGGAAGGUGGGGAUGAUCAAAUCCUCCGAAUGCCUCCUUA